CCUACGGGGGGCAGCAGUGAGGGAUAUUGGUCAAUGGGGGAAACCCUGAACCAGCAACGCCGCGUGAGGGAAGACGGUUUUCGGAUUGUAAACCUCUGUCCUCUGUGAAGAUAUUGACGGUACCUGCAAAGGAAGCACCGGCUAACUCCGUGCCAGCAGCCGCGGUAAUACGGAGGGUGCGAGCGUUAAUCGGAAUUACUGGGCGUAAAGCGCUCGUAGGCGGUAUGUCAAGUCAAGGGUGAAAUCUCCGCGCUCAACGUGGGAACUGCCUUUGAAACUGGCAAACUGGAGUGUGUGAGAGGAUAGUGGAAUUCCAGGUGUAGGAGUGAAAUCCGUAGAUAUCUGGAAGAACAUCAGUUGCGAAGGCGACUAUCUGGCACAUAACUGACGCUGAGGAGCGAAAGCGUGGGUAGCAAACAGGAUUAGAUACCCGUGUAGUC
rnacentral:rRNA from 1 species